AAAUAAUCUACGAUUGAUAAUAAUGAGUAUAAAGAGAAAGGAAGAGAUCUGUUAGAGACAUGGGCAUGGGGUUUGCUUAUUUCAAGUUACUAAAAGGAAGCAACGACACGGAUAUGGAACCACGAUAGACAACAUUGCUAAAGUAACUGGGAUUAUUAAAUUUGGAGGAAUGUUCAAGGUCUCUAUGACUUAGGACUAAGCAGGUUUGGCUUUGAGGCUAUUUAUGGUUUGGUUUUCUUUUUCUUAAUCUUCUGUUUAACUUGAAUACCGUAGGAAAUAAUUCGUGCACAUUAUAGAUGCGAAAAUAAUGUCAUGUUGCUCAUGUUGCUAGGGACUAGAUGUUACUGAUCAAGUUGCUCAUUUUGUACAUUUUUAUUCAUGAGCUGUUAAAGAACACUCAACUAUAAGUUUAAGUUGUAAAGAAAGAGCUCUUAUUGAUUUAUGUUUCUCCUAGCAUGUUCUUUUGUGUUGUUAAUUGAUGCAUUGUCCAGUCUAUUGUUGAGUUCCUAUUAUCCUGGCAGUACUGGUUUUAGCAUCAACUAACUAUCAUAGCAUGUUUAAAGUUCAGCCCUUAUUCUGUAGAUGAAGCAACCAUAUCAUAAACGUAUGUGUUGUUAAUUUCAAAAUAUAUUUUAGGUUUUCUUGUCCAACAAUGCCUUUCUUUUUCCAUUAAAUUGAUUAAAUGAUUUGGUAUUGUUUCUGCUUUUGAUUCAAAGUUUAGAUUUAGAAAACAAUGGAACCGCUGCCGCCGAAAACAAUGGAACCAAAGAAGGUAAGGAAAAUGUAGAUGAAGUGUUUGAGUAAAGUUCUACAAAUGAUAAUAACCCUUUGCCUCGAGCGUGAAUGGAUCCAUCAAACGGGUAGUAUUAGUUAUCAACUACUUAUGAGCUUUGUCAAAUGACAUUGUAUGGCGAUGACACUAUUGGUGCAUUGGUUUUAUGGAGAUGACAUUGUAUGCUUGAGAUAUGUAUGUAUGUAGUCUACAUGUUGAACUGAUGUAUCUUGAUAGCUUUUGAUUUGUUGCAUACAUGAACAUGCCUUUGGCUAAUAGUGAGAUGCAUUGCUUUUAUGGUAACUAAUGUGUCAGCAUGCAUCAUCUAUGUGUAUCAUCAAAUCUCGCAAACAAUGUAAAGUACCAAUAUUCUCAAUAUUCUCUUAGGUGAAGAAGGUAGAUUUGCAUGGAACAAGCUGCCAAUGUUGCUGCCAUGAUUCAAUACUCCACUUUCUUGUGAGUUCAGUUGAUUCAUAAGGUCAUCUCGGGUGAAGAUCAAAUUCACAGGAACUGCUUUCAAUGUUUCUGUUUCACCACUUAUGUAAUAUAUCAUAACUAUAAAUACUAAAUUUAAUGUUUUUGUCAUCCUAAUAGUCUGCUGCUAUUUGUAUAGCUGCUUGUUUCUGAACCCUCAGUACCAUUGCAUAUGCCUAUUUUUAUUAAUUC